AUGGACACGGAGAACUCCUGGGUUAGGAGGACUAAGUUUUCGCACACCGUCUACACAAGGGUUGCUUCCCAUGGGGUGCAUGUGGCUCCUCUUGGCAGAGAUGUGGAGCAGAGACUUCAGAGAUUUGUGAGUAUGGGUAAGUCUGUGACGAUGCCCAUUGAUCGAGGCAAUGAUGAAAGAGUGGCUGCGCUGAAGCAUACUGCUAGUCUGCCAUCACUCCGAUCCUCACUCCAGCCUAAUGAGAAAAAGGCCAGCAAGCAGAAGAUGAGUUUGGAGAUUCCUUUGAGCCCUCCGGCAAAGUCUGAGAAAUCCAAGGCCCCAAGGGCGAGGAGCCUGGUCAAGAGCCCAAGCUCGAUGAUGCUCCUUAGCUACUUAAAUAAUGCACACACAAGUCAGGGCUCCAACCUUCGUCAAAAGGCUAAUGGAUCUCAUCACAAGCUGAGAUCCAAGUCCCCUCUUCCCAGCGUAGUGCCUUCAGAUACAUUCAGGGAAGCGAGGGCCAGCAGUCAGAGGUUCACAAGCCCUCCCCCGAAGCGUGUGGGAUCUGAUAAAAGUGUCUAUGGCAAAUCGCUGGGCAGGGAAGGGUGUGAUAUGGGUCCAAGCCCUGAUUGGUGUUCGACUCCGGUGGUCUCUGAUAAGCACAAUUCUCAGAAGGAUAGCUCAUGGACCAGAAGAUACUUUGACAAUGGGGGAAGGAGGAGGGUUAGUGCAGUAGAGACUGUGAGGAGCCGUACAGUUAGCAUGGCUCAAGCGGUGCAAUCGACAGUUGAUUGGGAACUUGAUCCAACCAAGCUGCUUGUUGGCCAUAGGUUUGCUUCUGGGGCACAUAGUAGGCUAUACAGAGGACUUUACGAUGAUAAGCCGGUUGCCCUUAAAUUUAUCCGCCGGCCUAAGAAUGACGCUGGUGGGAUAAUAGCUGCAAAGCUUGACAAACAAUAUAACACUGAGGUCAAUGCAUUGUCUCAUCUGCAUCAUAAGCAUGUGAUCAAGCUUGUAGCAGCUCAUAGAGUUGGACCGGUUUAUUACAUUAUUACGGAGCUUCUUCCUGGAGGUUCCUUGAGGUCAUACCUGCACAACCCAGAGCACUGCCCCCUCCCUCUGGAGAGGACCAUAUCCAUCGCUCUGGAGAUUGCCCGAGGGUUGGAGUACAUCCACUCUCAGGGAGUUGUCCACCGCGACAUUAAGCCGGAGAACAUCCUUUUUGAUGAGAAGUUCGAGGUGAAGAUUGCUGAUUUCGGCAUUGCCUGUGAGGAGACGUUAUGUGAUCUGCUAGUGGACGAUGAGGGCACGUACCGCUGGAUGGCCCCUGAGAUGCUAAAGCGCAAGCCGUACAACCGGAAGGUGGAUGUAUAUAGCUUUGGACUGCUGCUGUGGGAGAUGGUGACCGGAAGAAUUCCUUUCGAGAACCUCUCCCCGGUCCAGGUGGCUUAUGCCGUCGCGAAUAACAACAAGAAAGCGAUGGAACCUGAAGAUUAUUGCCCGGCAGCAGUGAGACCCCUGAUUGAGCAGUGCUGCGCAUUGCAGCCCGAGAAGAGGCCAGAUUUCUGGCAGAUCGUGAAAACCCUGGAGAAGAUCCAGUCUGUUAUGUCGCAGGGCGGCUGCCUGGACGCGCUGAGGAGCAGUGACCACAAGAAGGGGCUUAAGCACUGGAUUCAGAAACUGAAACCAUCACACGGCGCCUGA
rnacentral:rRNA from 1 species